rnacentral:lncRNA from 1 species
GGCCUUCCAGUGCCCAGAGGGGGCAGAGAGCCAUGGGGGAAGGGGAAGGGUUUUAGACGUGGAAGAGGAAGGUUGGGAGCAGAUGUUUGCAAGAGCCAGGAGGGUGGUGAGCCAGUGGAACAGGCUGUGCAGAGAAGCUGUGGAUUCCCUGUCCCUGGAAGGUUCCAGGCCAGGCAGGACGAGGCCCUGAGCACCCUGAUGGAGCAGGUGGCAGCAGAACCAGGCCAUGGCUGCGGUGCCUCCAUGGCCUUCUGGAACUGCAUGGGUGAGCAAAGCGGAGCCCCGUUAGCUGGGCAUGAAAUGUUGGCACCGGUUGCCAGGGGCACUCCUGCUCCCAAGGUUCUGUUGAAACGGAGACUGUUGAGCCAGUUGACAGAUUCUCUGCUGCGCAGCACACGCAGAGCAUCCGUCUUCUCCAUCGCGGCUGGGAAUAGUCAGUCAUCCGCUGAUAUUUGUGAGCCAAACUCUGGAGUGACUGUACAGGUGAGUGCAGACAACACUUGACAAUUCUGAUUGUCAUGCUGAGGGGCUGGUCUGGGCUGCAGCAUGGGCUGCAGGUGGGUUCAAGUGCCAGAGUCACGGACUUCCCCUCUAGCUUUGAACAGGACCUGAAGACUUGGGAAUGGGAGUCUUGGGGCAUGGGGGUAUUCGAGAAAAUUGGCAUUCCAAAUAGAUCAUCUCCCCUGUACUUUUCUGAUAGGUUUGGAACAACAGUUUUGUGUCGCUCCAAAAAAUCUGCAGUGGGCUGCCCAAAGGAACAAAAGGGAUUGAUCAAAUCUCUGACAUUCCUUUCUUGGAGUUUGUCCCACUAACUUUGCCAGUGCUUUUAGAUCACCAACCACCAUGAGCACAUUUAUGGAGAAUUCAUAGAUAUCUCAGGCAAAUCUUCUGAGCCUGAUGUUGUCACCGUUGGUGAUGAUGAUGAAUCCCCUGUGUGCAGAGCCAGGAAUUUUCAUUAAGUGUCCAAUUUGCAUGGGCUUUUACUCAGAGACUGGGCAGAGUGGACGAGAGCAUGUGACAACCGUGUGUGGCCUCGUGUUCUGCAGCGCGUGCCUCCCUGCUGCCCUGGACACUACCAGCAUGUGCCCAACCUGCAGAGAGGAACUCGAUGCAGAAAUGUAUUUUCCAAUUUAUUUAGGAGUGCUUCUGCUUCUCAGGAGUCAGAUGGAUUCCGGGGAUAGGCAAUGUAGAGGCUUGUUUCUUUAUGUAUAUAGUUCUUCCUGUACAUAGUUUCAUUUUUGCUGAGUUUGGUUAGGAAUAAAGUUUUGAUUGAUUUAAAU